GUGUCAGCCGCCGCGGUAAUACGUAGGGCGCAAGCGUUGUCCGGAAUUAUUGGGCGUAAAGAGCUCGUAGGCGGUCUGUUGCGUCGGAAGUGAAAUCCCGGGGCUUAACCCCGGGCUUGCUUUCGAUACGGGCAGACUAGAGUGUGGUAGGGGAGACUGGAAUUCCUGGUGUAGCGGUGAAAUGCGCAGAUAUCAGGAGGAACACCGGUGGCGAAGGCGGGUCUCUGGGCCACUACUGACGCUGAGGAGCGAAAGCGUGGGGAGCAAACAGGAUUAGAUACCCUGGUAGUCCACGCCGUAAACGUUGGGCGCUAGGUGUGGGGGUCCUUCCACGACCUCCGUGCCGCAGCUAACGCAUUAAGCGCCCCGCCUGGGGAGUACGGCCGCAAGGCUAAA
rnacentral:rRNA from 1 species